rnacentral:rRNA from 1 species
UACGUAGGGUGCGAGCGUUAAUCGGAAUUACUGGGCGUAAAGAGUGCGUAGGCGGUCCCGCAAGUCCGCUGUGAAAGCCCCGGGCUUAACCUGGGAAUGGCAGUGGAAACUAUGGGACUUGAAUCUGGCAGAGGGGGGUGGAAUGCCACGUGUAGCAGUGAAAUGCGUAGAGAUGUGGCGGAACACCGAUGGCGAAGGCGGCAUGCUGGGUUGCGACUGACGCUGAGUUGCGAAAGUGUGGGGAGCAAACGGG